UGGGUAGUCCGCACGAGCGCACCUCAUUUUUAGUUGCCAUCAGGUUAGCUGGGCACUCUAAAGAGACUGCCGGUGAUAAGCUGGAGGAAGGCGGGGAUGACGUCAAGUCCUCAUGGCCCUUACGGACUGGGCUACACACGUGCUACAAUGGUGGUGACAGUGGGAAGCAAUUUCGCAAGAAAAAGCAAAUCUCCAAAAGCCAUCUCAGUUCGGAUUGGACUCUGCAACUCGAGUCCAUGAAGUUGGAAUCGCUAGUAAUCGCGGAUCAGCGCGCCGCGGUGAAUACGUUCCCGGGUCUUGUACACACCGCCCGUCACACCAUGGAAGUUGGUUACACCUUAAGGCAAAGCGUAAAACCUUUGACCACGGUACGAUCAGCGACUGGGGUGAAGUCGUAACAAGGUAGCCGUAGGGGAACCUGCGGCUGGAUCACCUCCUUUCU
rnacentral:rRNA from 1 species